AAGAAUCAUCUUCUCCAAUUACUAAUAAAUAGAGGGAUACUUACGAAUAUAGUAUCUCUAGAAUCAAAAUAAUAUUGUUCCUAUAUUUUUAUUGUGGGUCUAGCCAUUUGUUGAUUAUAUUUUGAAUUGACUCUUUAUUUAUUUUGUAUGCCAUACAAACUACCAAUUUAGGUAGUGAUUAAUUGUAUUUGACAUGGACUCUUUGAUUUGAUUUGGUAUACAUAGUUAGAUGAUAGUGACAAUCAAAUAGUGUAGCUAUACUUUUUUCCUAUGAUUAAUUUGAUAGUUUAUAGCCCUUGAGUGUGAACAGGGUGUCUUAUUGUAACUCUCAAAUAUUACGGCAAUAGAUCUCUAGAAUAUUUCUCCUUUGCUCAAAAGGUACCAUUGUGGAAGGAUCAUAUUUUUUAAUUACUAAAAAAUAGAUGGAUACUCAAACUUGGGCUUAUACUACGAGAAACGACCCAGAUUUGGUUCAUUGAAUUACCA
rnacentral:lncRNA from 1 species